rnacentral:rRNA from 1 species
GACAGAGGGUGCAAACGUUGUUCGGAAUUACUGGGCGUAAAGCGCGUGUAGGCGGUCGGGCAAGUCGGAUGUGAAAGCCCAGGGCUCAACCCUGGAAGUGCACUCGAUACUGCUCGGCUAGAGUCCCGGAGAGGAUGGUGGAACUCUCGGUGUAGAGGUGAAAUUCGUAGAUAUCGAGAAGAACACCGGUGGCGAAGGCAGGUCUCUGGGCCACUACUGACGCUGAGAAGCGAAAGCAUGGGGAGCGAACAGG